AGAGAUGUGUGAUGACGCAUAUCAAUAAGCGGAGGAAAAGAAACUAACUAAGGAUUCCCUUAGUAACGGCGAGUGAAGCGGGAAGAGCUCAAAUUUGAAAUCUUCAAGGUUCUACCUUGACGAAUUGUAGUUUAAAGAAGUGUUUUCUGUUGGAGUUUUGGUAAAAGUUCUUUGGAAUAGGACAUCAUAGAGGGUGAGAAUCCCGUAUUUGACCAUUUCUUCCAGCUGUGUGAUACACUUUCAAAGAGUCGGAUUGUUUGGGAAUGCAGUCCAAAAUGGGUGGUAAAUUUCAUCUAAAGCUAAAUAUUGGCGAGAGACCGAUAGCGAACAAGUACCGUGAGGGAAAGAUGAAAAGAACUUUGAAAAGAGAGUUAAACAGUACGUGAAAUUGUCAAAAGGGAAGCGUUUGACACCAGUGUUGUUUUCUCGAAAAUCAAUUAAAAAUGACCGGAUUUUGUGUUGUAUUGACUUUAUCAGCUUUCUGCACUUUUUUCUUGUCUUUUUUAAUGCACUUUUCGUUUAACAAGUCAACAUCAAUUUCUUUUGUUGUAAAAGAGUCAUUGGAAGGUGGCUUUCACUUCGGUGAAAGUGUUUAUAGCCUUUGACUUCUGCAAUCGGAGAGAUUGAGGUCUGCAGCGUAGAUCCUUCGGGGUUAGAUACAUUUGUGCUAAGUUAUAGUUUUUCAUAGACAACAUGUUGACUAUGAUUAAUCAUGUAGCUUACUCGCUUAUGCUAUUUUACCUACGCUUAGGAUGUUGAUCUGUAGUGCGUGCGC
rnacentral:rRNA from 1 species